rnacentral:rRNA from 1 species
GACGAACGCUGGCGGCGUGCUUAACACAUGCAAGUCGAACGGAAAGGCCCUGCUUUUGUGGGGUGCUCGAGUGGCGAACGGGUGAGUAACACGUGAGUAACCUGCCCUUGACUUUGGGAUAACUUCAGGAAACUGGGGCUAAUACCGUAUAGGAGCUCCUGCUGCAUUGUGGGGGUUGGAAAGUUUCGGCGGUUGGGGAUGGACUCGCGGCUUAUCAGCUUGUUGGUGGGGUAGUGGCUUACCAAGGCUUUGACGGGUAGCCGGCCUGAGAGGGUGACCGGCCACAUUGGGACUGAGAUACGGCCCAGACUCCUACGGGAGGCAGCAGUGGGGAAUAUUGCACAAUGGGCGGAAGCCUGAUGCAGCAACGCCGCGUGCGGGAUGACGGCCUUCGGGUUGUAAACCGCUUUCGCCUGUGACGAAGCGUGAGUGACGGUAAUGGGUAAAGAAGCACCGGCUAACUACGUG